CAUUACCGAGUUAUUCAACUCAUCAACCCUGUGAACAUACCUAAACGUUGCUUCGGCGGGAAUAGACGGCCCCGUGAAACGGGCCGCCCCCGCCAGAGGACCCUUAACUCUGUUUCUAUAAUGUUUCUUCUGAGUAAAACAAGCAAAUAAAUUAAAACUUUCAACAACGGAUCUCUUGGCUCUGGCAUCGAUGAAGAACGCAGCGAAAUGCGAUAAGUAAUGUGAAUUGCAGAAUUCAGUGAAUCAUCGAAUCUUUGAACGCACAUUGCGCCCGCCAGUAUUCUGGCGGGCAUGCCUGUUCGAGCGUCAUUACAACCCUCAGGCCCCCGGGCCUGGCGUUGGGGAUCGGCGGAGCCCCCCGUGGGCACACGCCGUCCCCCAAAUACAGUGGCGGUCCCGCCGCAGCUUCCAUCGCGUAGUAGCUAACACCUCGCGACUGGAGAGCGGCGCGGCCACGCCGUAAAACACCCAACUCUUCUGAAGUUGACCUCGAAUCAGGUAGGAAUACCCGC
rnacentral:ncRNA from 2 species